UGGGGAAUUUUGGACAAUGGGGGAAACCCUGAUCCAGCCAUCCCGCGUGUGCGAUGAAGGCCUUCGGGUUGUAAAGCACUUUUGGCAGGAAAGAAACGUCAUGGGUUAAUACCCCGUGAAACUGACGGUACCUGCAGAAUAAGCACCGGCUAACUACGUGCCAGCAGCCGCGGUAAUACGUAGGGUGCAAGCGUUAAUCGGAAUUACUGGGCGUAAAGCGUGCGCAGGCGGUUCGGAAAGAAAGAUGUGAAAUCCCAGAGCUCAACUUUGGAACUGCAUUUUUAACUACCGGGCUAGAGUGUGUCAGAGGGAGGUGGAAUUCCGCGUGUAGCAGUGAAAUGCGUAGAUAUGCGGAGGAACACCGAUGGCGAAGGCAGCCUCCUGGGAUAACACUGACGCUCAUGCACGAAAGCGUUGGGAGCAAACAG
rnacentral:rRNA from 1 species